AGGAGUUGGUGAUGGACAGGGAGGCCUGGUGUGCUGCGAUUCAUGGGGUCGCAAAGAGUCGGACACGACUGAGCGACUGAACUGAACUGAACUGAAGGUGUAGGGAAGAGAGGAGAGCUUUGUGCCUGAGGCAGAGAAGGGAUUUUUGGAGAUGAAGAACUCAGGGACAGGCAGAGUGAAAUGGACAGUUCAGCUUCAGCAAGGAAUUUCGUGUCCACUGGCCUGGAAGGGAUACAGUGGCCCAGCCUGGGCCCCUGGUUCUAUGGGGUUCGUGGGACUAGAGGAGGAGGAGCUGAAGAUGGUGAGGAGGGGCCAGGUCCCUGGAGAAGGCGCCGGGUGUGAAGUGCAGGUGGCGACCUUGGAAUCAAUCCAGAAAGGCAACUUGGUCUCCCAGCCUGCCCAGGAAGUCUUCCUUCAGGCCAGCCAGCUUUUCUAGAAGGUUCUCCAGGGAGUCAGUCCCAGGGCUCUGCCUCUGGAGUCUCUGCGCUUCCCUCACUUGCCUCUAGAUGGAAGAUUUCCUCACCUGGUGCCCAACAGGCUCCCCCUGCGGCCACAUCCAGCAAACCUGUGGAUGCUAGAAUUCUCAGAACCAAAUGCAGCCCUUAUCUUCUGCCGCAAAGCGUGACAGGCUUGUGUGUGGCUGGUGAGUGGACACAGCCAGGUCCGGCUGGCUCAGACGAGGGGGCAACCCAUCAGUCCCUUGGUGGUGGUGGUGCGCCUCCUUUCACCCCCUGGCAUGUCCACUCAAGCAGAGGCACCUCGAGCUCAGGUCAUUCACAUAUUCAUUCAUUUCUGCAGUUAUCAAGCAUCAUUUGCUAUGUCCGUUUUUGGGGACAGAGAGGAGGACACAGGGUCCCUGCCUGAGUCUAGAGGAGGAGACAGGAAAUAGAUGUGACCAUGCAGGGUGGUAAGUACUCCGAGGAGAAUUGUUUUCUUCCUCUGAGCCCUACUUUUCUGUCUGGCUUCUCUGACAGAGUCAGUGGCAUCAUUACCACCCAUCUGCUCAACCCGAAAAUGCAGAGUCAUCUCCAUGCCUCCCCCACUCAGCCCCAUCUCCUUUUCAGCCAC
ensembl:lncRNA